rnacentral:lncRNA from 1 species
CACCUGUUGGGGGGGCGGUGGGGGUUGGGGGGGGAAGAGCAAGGAGGCGAGGGAGGAGGUGGUUGGGGGGAAGAAGCGGCGUCCCGAACGUCCCCGUCGGACUGGGAACGUCCCCGUGGACCGAGAACGUCCCCAUGGACCACCAGUGUCCCUAGAGAGGGACCAUGAGCAUCCCCAUGGACCGGGAAUGUCCCCAUGGACCAGGAACGUCCCUAGAGAGGGACCACGAGCGUCCCCAUGGACCAGGAACGUCCCCAUGGACCACCAGCGUCCCUAGAGAGGGACCAUGAGUGUUCCCAUGGACCGAGAACAACCGAGAACGUCCCCAUGGACCACCAGUGUCCCUAGAGAGGGACCAUGAGCAUCCCCAUGGACCGGGAAUGUCCCCAUGGACCAGGAACGUCCCUAGAGAGGGACCACGAGCGUCCCCAUGGACCAGGAACGUCCCCAUGGACCACCAGCGUCCCUAGAGAGGGACCAUGAGUGUUCCCAUGGACCGAGAACAUCCCCAUGGACCAGGAACGUCCCUAGAGAGGGACCAUGAGCGUCCCCAUGGACCAGGAACGUCUCUAUGGACCAGGAACGUCCCUAGAGAGGGACCAUGAGUGUCCCCAUGGACUAGGAACGUCCCCAUGGACCACCAGCGUCCCUAGAGAGGGACCAUGAGCGUCCCCAUGGACCAGGAAUGUCUCUAUGGACCAGGAGCAUCCCUAGAGAGGGACCAUGAGUGUUCCCAUGGACCGGGAAGGUCCCCAUGGACCACCAGCAUCCCUAGAGAGGGACCAUGGGCAUUCCUAUGGACCGGGAACAUCCUUAGGGACUAGGAAAGUCCCCAUGGUCUGGGACCAUCCCUAUGGACCAGGAAGGUCCCCAUGGACCACCAGCAUCCCUAGGGAUGAGCGUCCCCAGGGACCGGGAACGUCCCCAUGGACUGGGAACAUCCCUAUGGACCGGGAAGGUCCCUAUGGACCACCAGCAUCCCUAGGGAGGGACCAUGAGCGUCCCUAUGGAUGGGGAAUGUCCCUAUGGACCACCAGCAUCCCUAGGGAGGGACCAUGAGCGUCCCUAUGGACCAGGAACGUCCUUAGGGACCACCAGCAUCCCUAUGAAGGGACCAGGAACGUUCCUAUGGACCAGAAGUGUCCCUAGGGAGCACCAGCAUCCCUACAGAGGGACCAGGAGUGUCCUUAGGGCCCGGGAACGUCCCUAGGGAGCACCAGCAUCCCUACGGAGGGACUGGGAGCGUCCCUAGGGACCUUACCUGCCCCUGCUUCUUCGGC